rnacentral:rRNA from 1 species
UACGGGGGGGGCUAGCGUUGUUCGGAAUUACUGGGCGUAAAGGGCGCGUAGGCGGCCUACUAAGUCGGACGUGAAAUCCCUCGGCUCAACCGGGGAACUGCGUCCGAUACUGGUGGGCUCGAAUCCGGGAGAGGGAUGUGGAAUUCCAGGUGUAGCGGUGAAAUGCGUAGAUAUCUGGAGGAACACCGGUGGCGAAGGCGGGUCUCUGGGCCGAUACUGACGCUGAGGAGCGAAAGCGUGGGGAGCGAACAGG